UACAGAGGUCUCAAGCGUUGUUCGGAUUCAUUGGGCGUAAAGCGCGCGUAGGCGGCCAGACAAGUCCGGUGUGAAAGUCACAGGCUCAACCUGUGAAUGCCGCUGGAAACUGUCUGGCUAGAGUCCGGAAGGGGCGAGUGGAAUUCCUGGUGUAGCGGUGAAAUGCGCAGAUAUCAGGAGGAACACCUAUGGCGAAGGCAGCUCGCUGGGACGGUACUGACGCUGAGGCGCGAAAGCUAGGGGAGCAAACGGG
rnacentral:rRNA from 1 species